AAUGGUACAGUCCCCACCCCGGCGAGUGGCGCUUUGAGUUGUGUUGCAGGCCGGGCUCGAGUUCCCGCCUCCCGUCAGGUCCAGUCCAGCCGUCCAGUCAGGCAGCUGAAAGGCUGCAGCGAUAAUGUCUGGAAACCCAAAGUCUGGGUCUCAGAAAAGGAGAGAAAGAAAGGAGAAAGAGGACAGGGGGAAGAGAGGGCGUCAUUAUGUCACAGUUUUUCCUCAAAGAAUCAGCAGCUGAUGAUAUGUCAGCAGGUGUCUCCUCUCCUCAACUCAAUGAACCUUAAAAAGCAAUGAUCGAGUAGAUCCUGUUGGUGAUCCUGAAUCCAGAUUCAUGUGAGAAGAUCUCCUGUCCUCCAUGAGGGAACACCGAAAUGGUAAGGUUUUGUUUUUAUUUACUCUGGUAGCAGUUACAGCACACACAACUCAGAAGAAGCUCAGGAAGCCUUAAAUCCACCUUCAACUGAAAAGAAAAACUGAAAAAAAUUAGAAAAAGUCUUUCAUUUUUAUUUUAAAUAGUUUAAAAUUUAAAUGUAAACAAAAUUAUUAUUCAUUUGUUGAGAAACAAUUGAAUGACAGAUUUGAAGUUGAUUUAAAAUGACCAGAGUUAACUCGUACCAUGAGUGGAUAGUCUGUCUGGAUCAAAUCGGACAGUCCCGCCUGGAACAUCACUACCAACCAGGAAUAACAGAGCGGAUCCUUGGUAACUUGAUGCGAGCCCAUCAGCUUCUACAUGCGGCUCUAAUUAGUGAGCAUAAUUACAUAAUCUACUGUAUCAAAGGCUUUGUAAAGAUCAAUGAAGGAAGCUGGAAGGCUUUCAGGUACCCUGGAAACAUUUUGCUUCCUCGCUGAGUUUUUAAUUUUCCGUUGAGGAAUUUUCUAGUAGGAGGGAUCUGAACUUGUUGGCUUGCUCUCAGUUGCUUCUGUUUUGGAAUAAAAAAAGAAAUUCUGUGAAACACAAACGACCAGCAAGAGAAAGCAGCAUGAGACUGGUGCUUACACCACGCACCAGCAUCCUGCAGAUCGCUGGCAGCUUCGCGAAUCCACUGCUGUCCAACGCUCUGCUUCUGAACCACAAUAAAACCCAGACAGACACUCACUUAUCAACCCUCCACAGAAGAUCUGCAGCCGCCGGCUUUGAUUUUCAACAGAAAACCUCUUUAGAAUGAUGUUUAAAAUGAAAGAAACAUACAACGGUAGUGGCCGAGGAUGUGAGUAAAAAUGGGAGAAAAGAGCAAAUUGUCAAGAAAGAACUCGAAAUGCUGCAGAUUUAUCUGGGCUCUGAAAACGGCAUCAUCACAUUACCACCAAAUUUAAUCUAAUCUCCUCAGAGCUGCGACAGAUCCAUUUGGAUACGGCGCCAGAGACGAGCCGAGGGGCACGAUGGGUGUUUUUAUCGCUGCGAAGGAGGAUGUUGUUCCAUUAAUCUUUUCCUCUGGCAGCCCUCGACGUCAGAUUGGAGCCGGUGAUCAGAUGGCAUGACGGGUGCCUUCUUCACGGCAGGAAGAGGAGAGGAAAACUCAGACAGCCUGAUGUAACUGAGACGCACCACUAACUCAGUCAGGAUAAACCCCAGAAAUAAAACGCCAAAGUUCUGAGAAAUUCUCUAAACUAUCAGGAACUUGAACGCAUCACUCCUAAACAGAAAAUGUGCUAAUUUUAUUCCCAGAGAUUGUUUAGCUCUCAUCCUAAAUCAUAUUUAUAUUUGGGAAAUGAGUUACCUUUUAAAAGAAAGCAGGGUGCAUUUUUGGACAUCUGGAAGAUUUGAGGUCAGAUGUGCCUAAACUGCUUCUAGCUCGAAAAACUUAUACCCAAACUGACUCGAGAACAGAUGGGAAAGAACGUAAAAGACAUUCCUGUAAAAUUGAAGGUGAUCAAAAGAACUUGUUACAUUUACAACUUUUUACUGUCGAACAUGCCGCAGCCGGAAAAUCCAUAUACCGUAUUUUCUGGACUAUAAGUCACACUUUUUUUUCAUAGUCUAGCUGGUCCUGCGACUUAUAUACCAAAUUAUGUAGGCUAUACCGUGCUGCUGCCGGCCAGCUCCGACCCAGGAAUGAGCUCCCCUGCCCCCUGGGAGGGUUUGAAACACUGCCAUCACUGCCAUCACCUGCUGCAGCCUGUGGCGGGGUGCUGGUGGCCGGCUCCGGCCCAGGAAUGAGCUCCCCUGCCCCCUGGGAGGGUUUGAAACAGUGCCAUCACCUGCUGCAGCCUGUGGCGGGGUGCUGGCGGCCGGCUCCGGCCCAGGAAUGAGCUCUCCCCGCCCGCUGGGAAACACUGCUAUCCUCUGCUGGAGACCAUGGUGUGCUGCUGCGCAUACCGCUGAAUAAACAAUAAUGAACAAGAGUCUGCUUCCAGACCUGCAGAAAGAGUGAAGAAAAAAACAAACAAACACAAAAAUGGGACACAACAACAAUACAACAAGAUCAAGGUAUCACUGCUUCAACUUGAUGAAGAAAUAUAUAAUCAACAUUAUUUAACUGAACAAUCACACGAUAAU